rnacentral:lncRNA from 1 species
AACACUUCCCUAGGCAGCUACCAGGUAGGCCAACUAUUAUUUGCAACUUGCCUAACAACACACUGAAGAGAACUCCUAAUGUCCUGUAGAGGCCUGUCACGCUUCACUGCUAGCAUUCUUGAGGUGCGACAAGAAGUCCACAAGGGCAUACUUAGUCUAGACACCACGUCUACACUAAUUCUACUACUCUAGACCCAGCUAAGGUUUCGAGCACUUCACACAAGGCAAAGCAAUGUGCCAGUAGGCCGGUUGUAUAUUUAAAAUAAACUAAGAAAGAAAGUAAAUACUAGAAUUACUCAGAUGAAAGGCAACUAGAAGGAAGACUUACUAGAAGACAAGCAUCCACUG